AUAACACUAUGCAAUAUUUUUAUACCCCAGUGUAUAUACUCCAAAGACAAUUAAAAUAUAUCAUGGAGCAAGUUGAAAGGGGAUUC
rnacentral:sRNA from 1 species